AUUGAACGCUGGCGGCAGGCUUAACACAUGCACGUCGAACGAGUGGCGGACGGGUGAGUCAUGCUUGGGAAUCUCGCUUAUGGAUGGGGAUACCUCCGGGACACUGUAGCUAAUACCUCGUCCCAUCGUGUUAGGCCAAGUGGGAUUGGGUAGUUGGUGAUGUAAAGGCUCACGAAGCCGACGAUCUCUAUCUGUUCUGAGAGGAUGACCAGCAACAAUGGGACUGAGACACGGCCCAGACUCCUACGAGAGGCAGCAGUGGGGAAUAGUGCGAAAUGGUGGCAACCUGACGCAGCCAUGCGGCGUGAAUGAAGAAGGCCUUAGGGUUGUAAAGUUCUUUCGGUAGCGAGGCGUUAACUACAGAAGAAGCACCGGCUAACUCCGUGCCAGCAGCCGCGGUAAUAC
rnacentral:rRNA from 1 species